rnacentral:rRNA from 1 species
GACAGAGGGUGCAAACGUUUGUUCGGAAUUACUGGGCGUAAAGCGCGUGUAGGCGGCUCUGUAAGUCGGGUGUGAAAUCCCACGGCUCAACCGUGGAAGUGCACUCGAAACUACAGGGCUAGAGUCCUGGAGAGGAAGGUGGAAUGCUUGGUGUAGAGGUGAAAUUCGUAGAUAUCGAGCGGAACACCGGUGGCGAAGGCGGCCUUCUGGACAGUGACUGACGCUGAGACGCGAAAGCGUGGGGGAGCAAACAGG